rnacentral:misc_RNA from 1 species
UCUGCCUUAUCGGCAAGCGGUCCUAUUAGAGUGCCCAACUUAAUGCUGGCAACUAAUAGCAAGGGUUGCGCUCGUUGCGGGACUUAACCCAACAUCUCACGACACGAGCUGACGACAGCCAUGCAGCACCUGUCACCACGUCCCCGAAGGGAACUCCCACUUUCAUGGGAUAGCGUGGGAUGUCAAGCCUAGGUAAGGUUUUUCGCGUUGCAUCGAAUUGAACCACAUACUCCACCGCUUGUGCGGGCCCCCGUCAAUUUCUUUGAGUUUUAAUCUUGCGACCGUAAUCCCCAGGCGGGAUACUUAAUGCGUUUGCUGCGGCACCGAGCGGGUAAGACCGCCCGACAUCUAGUAUCCAUAGUUUACGGCGUGGACUAC